rnacentral:rRNA from 1 species
UGUUCAUGUUGCCUUAAAACGCAUUCAAAUACAACUUUCAACAACGGAUCUCUUGGCUCUCGCAUCGAUGAAGAACGCAGCGAAAUGCGAUAAGUAAUGUGAAUUGCAGAUUUUCAGUGAAUCAUCGAAUCUUUGAACGCACCUUGCGCUCCUUGGUAUUCCGAGGAGCAUGCCUGUUUGAGUGUCAUUAAAUUCUCAACCCCACCGAUUUGCUUCGGGGGGAUUGGACUUGGAGCGUGCUUGUGUAUGUCUGCUCCUCUUUAAAUGCAUCAGUGGAGAGAAACUUGCCCCAGUGUGAUAAUCCUGUUGCGCUGUGGUGGGUGAAAGUCUGCUUCCCACCGUCCCUCCGGGGACAUAUGUCAUCUUAUUUUGACCUCAACAUCAGGUAGGACUACCCGCUGAAACUUAAGCAUAUC